GCUUCAAACAUGUACCAAGAAACCAGUCUUUAUAUAUGUGUGUAAAUGGACAGUGAAAAUCACCAAGCAAACAUCCCUUGUAAUUAUAAUAACAACAAGGACCAGUUACAACAGCGUUUGCCAUACCCGCCAACUUUUCCUUACAUUUCUGCUUAUAGGUUUCCAGAAUAGAAUCAUAAUUGCCUUCAGUAAUGAACCCAAGGUCAACGAGGAUUUCCCUUGACUGAUCGUCAAUCAAGUUAUGAUUUUUGUCACAACUCCCAUCACAUAUAUCAUCAUUGAUUAUGUACUUUGCACUUAUGUGUGGAUAUCGACAUGUGUCAAUUCUGUGGUCUUUAUCACGAUUGUAAU
rnacentral:lncRNA from 1 species